AUGUCAAAUGAUCGUUUUACUGAUUUUAAAUCAGUCCAGCCUCCAUCAGCAGAGAGAGUGGACCAGCAGAGCUCAGAGGUUCCCAGUGCUCAGUCUGCCCAGCAGCAUCAAACACAGCUGGACUCCAUAUUUAUGCUGCUGGAGGACAACAUGAUCACUUUUGUGAAGAACGAGCUGGAGAAGAUC